rnacentral:lncRNA from 1 species
AUGAGUACUGUUACAUAGAUACAUUAUCCUGUAUUCACUUACCUGGAUACUUGUACCUAGAGUUACAAGGAAGAUUUAUUCGUACUUUCUGUGUAAAUUGUCCUGUCUAUCCCAGUACCCGAGAUAACAAGGCGGGACUAACCAUUCCGAAUCCCAACUGAUUACCACCAGUGGUUGAUGACCAUCUACGGAGGUCUAUGGUUAAUACUUAUACUAGGUAGAUCGAUUACGGGACUAACCCUUCCUGCCCCCUGUUGUUGCUACAGAGGAUAAGUGGUCAAUCUUCGGAUGUUCAUUAGGUUAUUCAUUUCGCUUACUGCGAUGUUGUGUUAAUCCUAGUACCUAGUGAUAACACUUACAUUAGUACUUUUUUCCUAUUUACUUUAUUUUGUGAUACAUUCACAUAAACGAGGAGUUAGACUAAGUAAUUUAGUAAUAGUAAAUAGAAGGGAAAAACUAUCAUUUUACUUAUAGAACGUUCAGGUCUUGGUAGAAGACUAUCAUAUUCUUAUGUUGUGUUAGUCCUAAGUACCCAGUGAUAACACUUACAUUAGUACUUUUUUCCUAUUUACUUUAUUUUGUGAUACAUUCAUAUAAACGAGGAGUUAGACUAAGUACUUUAGUACUAGUGAAUAGAAGGGAAAAACUAUCAUUUUACUUAUAGAACGUUCAGGUCUUGGUAGAAGACUAUCAUAUUCUUAUGUUGUGUUAGUCCUAAGUACCCAGUGAUAACACUUACAUUAGUACUUUUUCGUAUUUAGUUUAUUUUGUGACCCAUUCACAUAAACGAUGAGUUAGACUAAUUACUGUUAGUAAUAGUCAACAAGAAGGAAAAACUAUCAUUUUCAUAGCAAAACAUUCGGGUCUUGGUAGAAGACUACAUUUCAUACUAGUAGGUAAUAAGGGAUUUUCUAGGGUUUUCAAACUUAUAUCAAUUGUUUCAUUUAAAGAUUUACAAGACAUUCAUAAGAGUUUUUGUCACACCCCAAAACCAGGAACGGCGGAAACGUUCUGGGGCGGAGGAUGUCAUGUAUAAUAUCAACAACAAUGUAAAGUAGUAAACAAGCAACAACAUCAUCCAUUGCAUUAAUAAUAUAAUUAUAAUACAAAUGUGUUCUGUCAAAUAUUGAUAAACACUGAAGCAUAAAUCAAAAUGAAAGAUAAGUCUUGAACAAGCUCCAUCUUCCUUUCUCCUUGCAUCGGUACCUGUCUAUGAUGACCUGAGGAUACAAGUAAUUUUGAAAGCGAGUAUCAGCUUUAAAGCUGGUGAGAUCAUAAGUAUUUAGUGUCUUAAUUUGUAUGUAAGAAUUUGUAAGUCUAUGUAUUGUAAGUAUUGAAAGUGUAUAUGAACUAUAAGUGUUUGAAAAACCCUAGAAAUCCCUAUGAUUCCUACUCGAAUAUGAAGGUGUCUUCUACCAAGACCUAACUGUUCUGAAUGUAGUCUUCUACCAAGACCUAACUAUGUUACUAUUAUUAUCAUUAUAAGAAAUUGUAUCCUUUGGUACUAGGAUACCUAAAUAUAAUUCACCCCAUUAGUUAUGUGAAUGAGUCACAAAAUAAAGGUAAUAAUAUAACUAACCUGAAUAGUACCCUUUGGUACUAGGGUAACUAACAUUGUUAACUUUAAGACAUCCGUAGACAUACUUUUACCUCUAUUGCUAACAGCUGGGUGUAGGAAUAGUCAGUCCCUUAAAGUAUACCUGUAAUGGUACCAACCGUUGACAUCCGUGGAUGUGCUUUUACCUCUAUAGCUAACAGAGAUUCUAGGAAUGGUCAAUCCCACAAUGUAUCCUUUGGUACUAGGAUAUUAAAUCCAUUCUGUCUCGUCGAUUAUGUGAUUGUAUCACAAGGUAAAGAUAAGAAUGAGGAUUCGAUAACAGAGUCGAUACAUAUAAAAUGUAAUAGGACUCCUCCUGAUAUAUCUAUGUAAAAGUACUCCUAUAAGUGUGAUCAUGUAAUAGUAUAGUAGAGUACUGUAAGGUUCUACGUGUGCUAGCUGUAAUGUGUGUUCUCUCUAUCUAGCAAGUAAAGUAAUGUACUGUAAUGUUCUACGUGUGCUAGCUGUAAUGUGUGUUCUCUCUAUCUAGCAAGUAUAGUAAUGUACUAUAAUGUUCUACGUGUGCUAGCUGUAAUGUGUGUUCUCUCUAUCUAGCAAGUAUAGUAAUGUACUGUAAUGUUCUAGAAGGUAUUGACUCAUGAAUGAACUGACUCAUUUGUAUGAUAUCAUGUUCUAGUAAUUGUUCUAGUAUCUUCCUAAACUACCCAUAUGGUAGUUUACUAGUAAUCUAUCUGGUAAGUAUGGACAUGGAUGUAUACCCUUGCUACCCAAGGGCAUAUGUUGAACUGGAAGGACCUUUUAUGACUAUAUAUGUACACAUGAUAUAUAACUAAUAUUUAAACGACUUUCGGACGAAUACCCGAUAUCCCACCAGACCACAUCUCAAGGCGCGAAAAGGAAAUAGGGUGGAUAGCCUUCCUAAGUCUUUUAAACAUUUCUUAUAUAACUAUACAUAUAGAGGCAUGCAAUUUAUAAUAUAAAAGCAUAAAUCAGUUUUGUAAGACAUUUGAAACAUAAAUAAUUUUAAGAAAAGAUCGACUUGAUGUCUAUCUAUGAAACAAUUUGAAGGCAUAAGUUUGAUAAAACAGUUUGAGUAUAAGGAAACAUUUGUUUGAAACACAGUUAUAAAUAAGUUUGAAAGGUAAUGUACGGAGAAGAUGUACAGUGUAAUAAGGAGUUUAAAACAUAUAAAAUGUUUAUAAAAAUCAUUUGAAGGAAACUGUUUGGUAAAACGGCUAAUGAGUAGCCAAAUCAUUUGAAUGCUGUAUAUUAAUCACAUGUGAUUGAUGUAAUAACUAGCAUAAUUCUACUUAUUAAUCACAUGUGAUUGAUAUAAUAAGUAGCAUGAUUCUACUUGUAUCCCCCCCAUAAAACAUUUAAAAUAGUUUAAAACAUUAGUUAAGGGGUAUGAACUCACCUGCAGUAAGUGACUGGAAUUGAACGGACUGUUAUCGUACGGAAGGAUCGGACAAGUGCUUGGUGUCAAGUGGAGACUUAGACACACACAAUGAUCUUAAUUACAUAUGAAAACAUAUGUAUAUAAAUAAUUAGUGAUUAUAACACUAAUUAUACAAGUAAUAACAUUUAAGCGCGAGGAAAACACUUUUGGUCAAGUGCUAGGAGGCUAAAGGGUCGCAACAAAGGAGUGCAAUGCCCCCAAUGGAAGUUUAAGGUCAAAUGACCAUAAUCAUUGGAGUUUACGGCCUAUGGGAGUAAGCUCCUGGCCGUAAACUCUCAACCAAGGCUUAAAUGGAGCUUAGAAUUAUCUCAACUCUAGAGGGGAAUUGUUUCAAGGCUUAAACAAGUUUUUAGGCACCAUAUUGACUCCUUUGGGGAGUUUACGGCCCAAAGACCCUAUUCCCUUGGAGUUUACGGCCGUAAACUCCCUUGGGAGGGUUCUUAUGGUGCUUUCAAGUCUCAAACAUUUCUAGGAAAAAAUCUAGACCUUAGUACUUGGCUUUAGGAGGGUUUAUGGCACCAAUUUGUACCAUUUUAUGGAGUUUACGGCCAUGGAACCUUUUGGGCCGUAAACUCCCUCACUAUUGGUGUUUUAAGUAUUUUAACUAGUCCAAAACUCAUCUAGGUACUUGCCCAAAUAGUCUCUUGGCUUAAGGAAGGAUUUAGGGUGUCCUUUGACCCUUUAAAGGAGUUUACGGCCCAAGAAAUACUCUUGGCCGUAAACUCUUCCACACUUGUGUUUUCCUUAUGUUUUCUAGGUCCUAAACACUUUAGGGUAUUUUCUAACAUAAAGUCCAAGCUUUAGGUGCCUUAAAAACACCAUUUGAGCAUGUUUCAAGGGAGUUUACGGCCUAAGCUAUUCUUGGGCCGUGAACUCCUAAACUUGGGUGUUUCUUGGCUGAUUUCUUGUAUCUAAAACACUCCUAUACAUGUCCAAGGUAGUUACUAAGAACGGGGAACAAUCUAGGCUCGGUUUCGGGAGUUUACCGCCCAAGAACACCAUGGGGAGUAAACUCCUAAAUCGGAUGAUUUAGCUAUGUAAUCUAUGUUAUGAACAUAAUUUAAAGCUUUCUAACACUACUAGAAAGAGUUACUCACAAUUUGGGAUAAAAACUCGAAGAUCCGUGAGAGAGAAUUUGGCUUUUCUCUAAUUGGAAUUUAAUUAAUGAACAAAUUUGGUUCAGAAUUCUAUUUAUAGUCCUGAAAUAUUUUUGGCAGAAAAUAUUUUUAUUCCUGGAACGAACUCUAAUGUCUUAGAGUAAUGGAAUAACAGUGUUGCACAAAACCCUAGUGCAACCACUCUCCUAAUAUCUUCUUAAGUGUAAAUCCUGAAAACUGCCUAACUUACACUCGGAGUCUGAAUUUUCAUUGUAACUGAUCUACAUUUAUUGGCUUGAUAUGGUUUGUUCAGAAUGGAAAUUUCGGGUUGUCACAGUUUUCCAAAACAAGUCAAUGACACUUAAAUACUUAUGAAUUCACCAACUUUAGGCUGAUACUCGCUUUCAAAAUAACUUGUAUUCUCAGGUCACCAGUUAGACAGGUAUGAUGUCCAGGCCUUGAAAAGACGGAGCAUAGUCAAGACUCAUCUUAUUUUGAUUAUUUAUGUUAUUGUUGUACAUUAAGAAAGAACACACGUGUAUUAAAACUUCACUUUUAAUGCAAUGGAUGAUGUUGCUUGUUUACUACUUUACACUGUUAUGAUACUAUACAUGACGUCCUCCACCGCGGAACGUUUCUGCUGUUCUUGGUUUUGGGGUGUGACAGAUUGGUAUCAGAGCACUAUUUAUAGUGAAUUAAGUAUAUCAUCCCAUAAAAGAUAUACUAACUAUAAAUACAUUGGGAUUAAAACACUCUAUCUAAGAGUAUAUACUUUUAAAUAAGAAAAUAUUUAACAAAGUAUACGUUCCUGCAUUCAUACUAAAAUUCGUGUCACACUGAUAAGAACAAAAGUAUUGCGAUUGUUGAAUAUCACAAGUAAGCUCAGGGAUGUAUGGUCAGUCUUGGGAGUGGCAUAGCCUGAUCAACUAUGAUGUUCCAAGGAGUGAUUAGCACAUGCCUAAGAAUGAUUGUGAUAUGGAAACAAGUCUAAAAACUUACCAACAUUACCACAAUGAUAACAUUAUAACAGAACCUCAGUCUAAAAUACCAUAGGGGUGUUUUGUAUUACUAUAAGUACUUUAUACUUGAGAACUAAAGCAGGAUCCCCAUUCCUUGUGAAUUUGGAGUUAAGGUCACUUAUUCGAAGGCCUAUCCUGUGUUGAUUACAUAUAAUUAGUAUGCACUUUACAAAUAGUGAUGUAAAUAAUGAAGAUUUCCUAAAUAAUUAUCUAGAUAGUUCGUCUAAUAAUUAUUUUCUUACCCCAAAUUCUCGCGUAGAUAAUAUGGUUGGACUCCAUCCUCAUGGCAACCUGUUCCUUCCGAACGCGGUUAUUGCUGGAUGGUUUGGAGAAGAACCAGAUAAUGAUCAUCCAAUCCCUCUGAAUGAUCACCAUGUUGAAGACCUUUCAGACGGUGCUACCUCUGAACCAGAGGUUGAGGACCUACCACAUGUAGCUCCCUUUCCAAUUCCUAACCCUCAUCCGAAUUUUCAUGGCAGAACGCCUCCAUGGGUGGAAUAUCUGGAAACAUGGAGCGAAGAUCAAGAUCAACCUAUGCUGUUCAAUGGAAUCCAAAGCUUCUACAACGUAAGUGAAGGAAGCUCAGCAGUCAGAGUUCUACCAGUUCUGAUCCGUGGACUUUCCCGAAGCGAAAUUCAGGGCAGGACAACCCUACAACGUAUCGCAGAAGUUGAUACAAAUGGAGGAAUGCAUAUGCUUUUUACCAGUCGCCUUGAACAUGCCCGUGAGAGAUCUGGGAGAAACCAUGAAACACUACUGCAAGCACUGGCUGAAUCACGAGCCGAUGUCAUAGAACUUCGAGUACGCCAGAGAGUGUACGAAAGACACCUACUUGAUGUGGAACGCCAACUGGCUGAACUGAGAAUUCACCAGAGGGAUGACCGUCGCUAGUAGUAGAUAUUGUACUUUAUAUUCUUUCUUCGAAAGGAAUCGUGUUCUGUCUGUGCCCAAUGUGGCAUUUUCUAUGAAACUAUCCUGUACUGUAAGUACUUUUGGUUAGGUCUUUAUGCUGUCAAGAACUAACUUUUCUGGAUAUGAUGUAAGACCUUGUUACAAGUUCAUUUUCCCGAACUUGUACGUCAUGAAUAUCAAAGAUAUUGACAGUCGGCUAACUUCUAUGUCAUUCUUUAUUCAAAUACUCUUAUCAUACUUUCAUCAGAGUCUAUUUGAAACAUGCUCUAGUCAAGUCAUUGGACUAUAGCAAUUGAACUCCGGAGACAUCUCCAAGUCUCUUUUAAUGGUUGAAUCAUGAAAUUCACCAACCAACAAUACCUCGGCUCGAACGAAAGUCGUCUUGAGACCACUGUAUGAGAUUACUUCCGAUCUUUUCUAGGACUGCAUCAUAGGGAUGUAGGUCAAACCUUCAUGAACACACUUCCAUUCCGUACUAGGACUACAUCAUAGGGAUGUAGAUAGAACCUUAGAGAACAUACAUCUAUUCUUUUCUUGAGCGAUCGAUCUACGUCUAGGUUCAACCAUUUUCGCUCACAAAUUCAUUUUCUUUUGGUAUAACAGAGUCAUGUCACAGAAGAAAGACGAUCAACCCAUUAACCAAACACCAACUCUUCAGAUUGAUGCAGCUACCUUUCAAGCUGCAGUCUCGGCUGUCGUGUCAGCUAUUCUGACCCACCCGAACGCUAACAACGCAGGACUUAGCGGGAUUGCUAACAACAAUUCCAAUCCAAGUAACAAUCAACCCCCUCAACGAGCAACAAACUACCACGAAACCCCGAGUCCUAAGACCAAGAGUAACAAACGGAAGUCUUGGAAUAAACCUAAGGACAAGUCGCUUCGAAGGGCGAACAAGAAACAACCACCAGUAACAACCUUCACAGCCACGACAUCAGUACCUCCUACUACCAUCCCUUCGGGCAUCCCAAUUGUCCCUAAACCAGCCAAACUUUAUGCUGGAAAUCUCCCAAAAUGCAUUCAAUGCAGUUUUCACCACCUUGGACCUUGUGAGGAAAUGCUGUGCUCAAACUGCAAAAGGAAGGGGCACACCUGACAUUGCUGCAGGAGCCUGACAAGGCCGAUCAACCAAGUACCCAACACCGGUGUGAACGAGGCUUUCUACGGUUGUGGCAAGGUAGGUCACUACAGAAGAAACUGCCCAGAAGUAGCAAAUGCUGGCACAGACAAAAGUGUGCUACCGACCACCACCGCAAGAGAGUCUACUCCAGACCCACAUUAAUGUAGUUUAGGCGUUUCAUUGUUACAGACUUAUGAACUAUCCGAAAACUAGUGCAACCAGAGGCUUAUCUUUUGUGGGAUCCCGUCUGUUUAGGGAUGCUCGUGCUGCGUAUACUUGUCUUUUCUAGUAUACCUUGUUCGCAGCGAUAGUCAUGUAGUAAAUCCUAAGUACAGUAACUUUGUUAAAAGUUGCACUGUUGUGCUUUGUCUGUAACGCCUUAUGUUCAAAUCUAAUGUCUUUAGUUUCCAUAUGGUUCCGACUAUAUCAUAUGACUGGAGUAGAUUCGAUCCUCGCAAUACUAGAUUCAUAAGUACAUCUCUUUCUCAGUAAACAUCUUUUAGCGAAACCUUCAUAUCAGAACACCGAGGUACUCGUGCAUGAAGUACCUUAUAGUUCUUUUCCUUUCCAAAGGAAUCCCCACAGUAUUACUCGUGCAGUACGUCAAGUUCAAUUCCAGGAUUCAUACGGUUGAUCUAUCACUGAAGAAUGUAUACAAGAGAGUGAUAUAUAAUCAAUGUUCUACAGGUUUAGAAUUGAUGAUUCCACUUUAACUUCUUUUCCCUCGAUGCGAUGUGAGAUUAAGGAAGAAUCAGUUAUUCGACUACCUUUUCAAUCUUAAUUAUAUACGACUCGUAUACACGAGAUUGUGAUCAUUGAACCAUGUAUGAAUUCUAAUAUGAACUUCAGGACGGAGGCUGUCCAAGAGUACGAGUAAUUGCAUUGGCGUAGGAACAAACUUAGAACCCAGUAUGACUCUUAUAACCAGAUCGCAUUACAGUCUAAUCACCUACGGAAGAUACAAGAAUAACCCGGACAACACAACGAACUACUCCACAAUAGAAUUAGAAGACCAGGCUUCUCACCCUUGAGAGCUCUGGUCUUAUUCUUACCAGAAGUCGAUGGAGUGCAUCGUAUGUACCUCGACGACCGGAGACUCCAUUAAGAUUUCCUUUAGAUAUCAUUGUCUCUGCCUCGCAUAGACGAGUUGAUUGAUCAAACUCAGGGAAAGAGUUAUUUUCAAAAAUGGACCUGAGAUCUGAAUAUCACCAGUUCGAGUGAUAGGGAAGGAUGUCAUGAAGACUACCCUCCGAACUUGAUGCAGACAUUUUGAGUCCAUAGUGAUACCCCUCGGAUAGGACCAAUACGCCCAUCGUAUUCAUGAGCUAAAUAAGUGGAGUACGCCUUUCUUACUUGAAUCAGUUCGUCAUUUCUCCAUGUAAAUGACUUACUUAUCUACCCUCGUAGUAAGAAAGAACCCAUAGAAACAUUACCCUCGGAGAUACUUUCGCAAAGUUCUUUGAACAUGAGUUUUGGAAUUAAAGGGGUCAAAUUUCCUGAGACGCACUAUUAGUGAUGUGGAAAUUUUUGAGUACUCUGGCAAAUUAUCCAAAACCGUUGGGAAUUUGUUGGCACCGUAAUCACCGACGGAAAAUUCGCCAAAUUCUAGGUCUUACAGACCUACUAUCAUAGUCCAUUCAGAACUCCUCGCAAAUUCUAGAAACCCUUUCAAAUGUGACCCAGCAAGGGGUGGCCCUUGACUGGGAAGUUAAGCGAGAGAAAGAACCUUUGGAAUUCCAAGUGAGAGACCAAAUUCUUUAAGAAACCUCACUUUGGCAAUGGCUUAAUACGCUUCGUAAAGCGUGGAAAGCUAAAUCCAAUGUAGUUAGGACCUCCGAGAUUCUUACCAGAAUCAGUCCUGCAUCUCACAAACUAGACCUACCCUCGCGAACUCAGUAACAUACAUUUUACCCUUCGCAUCUCGAACAUGAAGUAGUACCUAUCCAUUAGGACUUUUGUAAGCCCUCUCGACGAGAUCGAGAUUGACGAGAUCCUCGCCUUCGUAUUAGAACUGUAGUGACCCUCGACCGAGUAGUCAAACGAACGAAGCAGCGCCGUCGCCGUUAGUGAAAGUUUGUUGGGAUACCUACCGAGAACCCGAUUUCACUUGGGAGCACGAGAACCAAAGCGAUUAGGAAGUUUCCACCACAUGACUCAAUCAUUCGUUCCUACUUCCUUGCCUAAAUUUUAAUUUCGGGACGAAAUUCCCUUUAACAGGGGGAUGAUGUGACAACCCAAAAUUUCCCUUAUUAACAAACAAUAUCACUUCAAUAGAAGUUAUAGCAGUCACAACAAAUUUUCAGACUUUUCCGUAUAUGUUUGAAUAAUUCAGGGUUUACACUUCAGGAGAUAUCAGGAGAGUGGAUGCACUAGGGUUUUGUGCACCUCUAUUAUUCAAAUACUCAAUGAUAUUAGAGUUCAUUCUAGGAAUAAAAUAUUUUCUACCAAAAAUCUCAGGACUAGAAAUAGAAAUCUGAACCAUAUUCAUUCAUUAGUUACAUUUCCAACUAGAGAAAAGCCAUUUUCUCUCUCACAGAUCUUCGGGUUUUCAUCCGAAAUCAUGAGUACCUCUCUCUAGUAGUGUUAUAUAGCUUAUAAUGUGUUAAUAACAUAGAUUACAUAGCUAAACAAAUAGAUUUACGAGUUUACUCCCCAAGGUGUUCUUGGGCGGUAAACUCCCGAAACAAUGCCUAGCCUUUCCCCCCGUGAUAUGUUACUACCUUAGGCUUGUAUAUAGGUAUAAUUGGGACAAGAAAACAACAAUGAAACACCAAAGUUUGGGUGUUCACGGCCCAAGAAGAUCUUGGACCGUGAACUCCAAAAACAUGGAACAAAGAGUGCUUUUUGCAUUCCUAAAGUAUUGGACAAUUACCUUGGUUUACUUCCACUUAAAUCAAGGACAUUAACAACUCAAACACCCCUCUCAAAGAGAGAUUAUGGCCCUAAUAUUGUGCUUGGGCCGUAAACAUGAAAGAAGGGCACCAAAGUGUGCCUAAGGCCUUCAUUUGCUUUAGGUAAAAGUCUAGAACCUAUCCUACAUGUGCAUGAGACUUGAAAGCAUCAAAAACACCCUUCCAUAAGAGUUUACGACAGUAAACUCAAAUGGAAUUGGCCUUGGGGCCAUAAAUUCCUCAAAGGAGAUUAGUAGUGCCCUAAACCCUUCCAAGAAUUAAACCACCAAGUUGGAAUACUUCUAGGGAUCAUUUAGAACUUCAGAACACAAAAUGACACCAAGCGUAGGAGUUCACGGCCGUAAACACAAGGGUUUACGACCGUAAACUCCUUGUGUGGGGUUAUAUGGAGAGUAAACUAAAAUAGGGGGUCCUUUGGAACCCUAAACCUAAGUGCCUUGUCCCACAUCAAUUCGUAAUUUAAGACUAAUUGAGUGCAUAUAUGUGUGACUAUAUGAUCUUUAGGGUCGUAGUGUGUGUACAAGUCCUCACUUGACACCUAACAAUCCUACACCGUUCAGUUCAUCCAAACCACCAUCUACAGGUGAGUUCAUACCUAUUAAUCAAUGUUUAAAAUGAUUUUAAAUGCUUUAAUGGGGGGAAUAAAAGUAGAAAACAGUAUGGUAUUAAAUCACUCUUAUGUAUUUUAUAACUGUGUUUUCACCUAGUGGAUUUCACAUACUUCAAAAUGUGAUACAUGAAAUGGUUUUCUAUCUUAAAAUACCUUGAUAACAGAAGUAUUAGUUUUGAAAUGUUUAUUAAAAUGACAUCAAGUCACUCUUAAUUAUUGUUCAAAACUCUUAGAUAUCUUACAAAACCAUUAUUUUUACCUUCUUGAAACAAAACUAUACAUAUACACUUAUGUUCAUAUAAAAUUUUGAGAUUAUACUUUUCAUCCUUCAUUCAGUUUCCCACACUCUUGUGUAGUAAGGGUGUAUAAAGUACUUGAACAACCAAUUAUCAUUCAGUUAAUUAUCAUAGGGAUAGUUAGAAGAUACAAACCAUUAUUUCUAUUACGAGGAAUCACACAAGAGUCAGUUCAUUCAUGAGUCUAUACCAGUACAUUACAUGAUACAUGAGUACACUUACAUAUGCUUACAUGAUACAUGAGUACAUUUACCUAGGAUUACCUGAUACAUGAGUACGUUUACAUAGAUACAUUUAUCUAAAUACGCUUACAUGAAUACCAUACAUGAGUACUGUUACAUAGAUACAUUAUCCUGUAUUCACUUACCUGGAUACUUGUACCUAGAGUUACGGGGAAGAUUUAUUCGUACUUUCUGUGUAAAUUGUCAUGUCUAUCCCAGUACCCAGGAUAACUAGGACGGGACUAACCCUUCCGAAUCCCAACUGAUUAGAACCAGUGGUUGAUGACCAUCUACGAAGGUCUACGGUUAAUACUUAUACUAGGUAGAUCGAUUAUGGGACUAACCGUUCCUGCCCCCUGCUGUUGCUACAGAGGAUAAGUGGACAAUCUUCGGAUGUUCAUUAGGUUAUUCAUUUCGCUUACUGCGAUGUUGUGUUAGUCCUAGUACCCAGUGAUAACACUUACAUUAGUACUUGUUCCAAUUUACUUUAUUUUGUGAUACAUUCACAUAAACGAGGAGUUAGACUAAGUACUUUAGUACUAGUCAAUAGAAGGGAAAAACUAUCAUUUUACUUAUAGAAUGUUCAGGUCUUGGUAGAAGACUAUCAUAUUCUUAUGUUGUGUUAGUCCUAGAACCUAGUGAUAACACUUACAUUAGUACUUUUUCCUAUUUACUUUAUUUUGUGAUACGUUCACAUAAACGAGGAGUUAGAAUAAGUACUUUAGUACUAGUCAAUAGAAGGGAAAAACUAUCAUUUUACUUAUAGAACAUUCAGGUCUUGGUAGAAGACUAUCAUAUUUUUAUGUUGUGUUAGUCCUAGUACCCAGUGAUAACACUUACAUUAGUACUUUUUCCAAUUUACUUUAUUUUGUGAUACAUUC